rnacentral:rRNA from 1 species
UACGUAGGUGGCGAGCGUUGUCCGGAAUUACUGGGUGUAAAGCGCGUGUAGGCGGGAGGCCAAGUCUGUGGUGAAAUCGCUCGGCUUAACUGGGCGGGGUCCAUGGAACUGGUCACCUGGAGGUCGGUAGAGGCAAGUGGAAUUCCCGGUGUAGUGGUGAAAUGCGUAGAGAUCGGGAGGAACACCAGUGGCGAAGGCGGCUUGCUGGGCCGGACCUGACGCUGAGACGCGAAGGCGUGGGGAGCGAACGGGG